UGCAAAUCAAUCCCCGAGCCUUAUUACUGAACCAACACCUGCAAAAAUUUAUACCUGAUGCUUUGGGUAAUCAUCUCUGGUGUUUGCUCAAAUGACAGCACAUUGCAACUAGAAAUCCACGAGUUAGUUUCACAAUCUUCUUUGAAUAGAAUGAAUCCAUCAAUUGAGGAAGAAAUAGAUUCAUGAGUUCCUCGAUUUGUUGAGUGUAUUUUUUUUUUUUUUUUUUAGCAAUAGAUGAUUACCCGCAGCGAUACCCACAAAUUUUGUGAAAUUGAGCCAAUUUUGAUUGGAUUUUCCUCUCCGACGACAGCGCCGGAGCCAAUCUUUCUCAUAACAUGGCAAUUCGGGCCAGCUAGACGAAACCUGUUCGGGUAUCAAAAUUGACGGUGUAAUUUUGGUUUAUCCAUUCCUUGGUAACGAUGAACCGGACAAAAUUUGGAGCUUCUUUUGCCCGGAAACGAUAGGGUUGACUGAAGUUCUUUCCGCUUUUGGAGUGGUUCGAAUUCAGUUGCUUUUGGGUUUCUUCCAAUUCUGCAUUGGGUUCUACUUAGAUUGGGCUUCCCAGGUCAGUUUUUGGCAGUUACUGGUUCGGCCAGCUUCAUUUCAGAUUGUGGUUUUGGGUGGUCUCGACAAUGCUUCUUGCCUGUGAUUGGUCUCUGUGUUGGCUUCAGUUCUCUUUGUGGUGGCACGGCUUGGGUGUUGUCGUGGCUGCUUGUUAUCUUCUUUGUUUGAAGCUCACGUGGUCAUCUUCAUAUUUGCAGGCGCCACGCUGCAAGUAUUUUGUAUGUGUUUGGGGUGAAUUUAUUCAAAUUUAAUUUUGAAUCGUAAACUGCCAUUCUGCAAUUCACGUACUGGUCAGUGAGGUGUGGUGGGAAGAAG